GUGGGGAAUAUUGGACAAUGGGCGAAAGCCUGAUCCAGCCAUGCCGCGUGUGCGAAGAAGGUCUUCGGAUUGUAAAGCACUUUAAGUUGGGAGGAAGGGCAGUAAGUUAAUACCUUGCUGUUUUGACGUUACCGACAGAAUAAGCACCGGCUAACUUCGUGCCAGCAGCCGCGGUAAUACGAAGGGUGCAAGCGUUAAUCGGAAUUACUGGGCGUAAAGCGCGCGUAGGUGGUUUUGUAAGUUGGAGGUGAAAUCCCCGGGCUCAACCUGGGAACUGCCUCCAAAACUGCAUGACUAGAGUACGGUAGAGGGUAGUGGAAUUUCCUGUGUAGCGGUGAAAUGCGUAGAUAUAGGAAGGAACACCAGUGGCGAAGGCGACUACCUGGACUGAUACUGACACUGAGGUGCGAAAGCGUGGGGAGCAAACAGGAUUAGAUACCCUAGUAGUCC
rnacentral:rRNA from 1 species